AAACGCUGGCGGAUGCUUACACAUGCAGUCGAACGCUGUCGCAGACAGAGUGGCGCACGGGUGAGUAACGCGUGGGAAACUGCCCUUCUGUGCGGGACAACAUCUGGGAACGGAUGCUAAUACCGCAUACGCCCUACGGGGGAAAGGUCCGCCGCAGAGGGAGGUGCCCGCGUCCGAUUAGCUUGUUGGUGAGGUAGAGCUCACCAAGGGUGCGAUCGGUAGCUGGUCUGAGAGGAUGAUCAGCCACACUGGGACUGAGACACGGCCCAGACUCCUGCGGGAGGCAGCAGUGGGGAAUAUUGGACAAUGGGGGCAACCCUGAUCCAGCAAUGCCGCGUGUGCGAUGAAGGCCUUAGGGUUGUAAAGCACUUUCACUGGUGAAGAUGAUGACGGUAGCCAGAGAAGAAGCCCCGGCUAACUUCGUGCCAGCAGCCGCGGUAAUACGAAGGGGGCGAGCGUUGUUCGGAAUUACUGGGCGUAAAGGGAGCGCAGGCGGUUCAUUCAGUCAG
rnacentral:rRNA from 1 species